AUCCAGCUAACGACUUCCAAAUAGAACGAAACACGCGUCCUGGAU
rfam:Schistosoma haematobium scaffold44_20, whole genome shotgun sequence.